CGGAUAUAGUUUAAUGGUAAAACAUCAGCUUCCCAAGCUGAGGUUGCGGAUUCGAUUUCCGUUAUCCG
rnacentral:tRNA from 1 species